GCCAGAGUGGUGUAGUGGUUUGAGCAUUGGCCUACGACUCUGGAGACCAGGGUUCAAUUCCCUGCUUGGCU